rnacentral:lncRNA from 10 species
CAUAAGUGCACUGCUUUUAUAUCUGGAGUAGCUCUUUAGUGCUCCUUCUCUACCUAACCAAGCUUUGACUGACAGUCACUGGAGUUUUCCUCCAGAACGUGGUCAUAUCCCCUCAUACUGCUCUGAUCACCCUAACCACCUCCAUAACCACCAGUCACACUGCUCUGACCACCAUAACCACCACUCAUACUGCUCUGACCUCCAUAACCACCACUCAGCUGCUCUGACCUCCAUAACCGCCUCCACAACCACCACUCACAUUGCUCUGAUCACCAUAACCACCUCAUAACCACCACUCAGCUGCUCUGACCUCCAUAACCGCCUCGACAACCACCACUUACAUUGCUCUGAUCACCAUAACCACCUCCAUAACCACCACUCACACUGCUCUGACCUCCAUAACCACCUCCAUAACCACCACUCACACUGCUCUGACCUCCAUAACCACCUCCAUAACCACCACUCAACAGCUCUGAUCACCAUAACCGCCUCCACAACCACCACUCACAUUGCUCUGAUCACCAUAACCACCUCCAUAACCACCACUCACAUUGCUCUGAUCACCAUAACCACCUCCAUAACCACCACUCACAUUGCUCUGAUCACCAUAACCACCUCCACAACCACCACUCACAUUGCUCUGAUCACCAUAACCACCUCCACAACCACCACUCACAUUGCUCUGAUCACCAUAACCACCUCCAUAACCACCACUCACACUGCUCUGACCUCCAUAACCACCUCCAUAACCACCACUCACACUGCUCUGACCUCCAUAACCACCUCCAUAACCACCACUCAACAGCUCUGAUCACCAUAACCGCCUCCACAACCACCACUCACAUUGCUCUGAUCACCAUAACCACCUCCAUAACCACCACUCACAUUGCUCUGAUCACCAUAACCACCUCCACAACCACCACUCACAUUGCUCUGAUCACCAUAACCACCUCCAUAACCACCACUCACAUUGCUCUGAUCACCAUAACCACCUCCACAACCACCACUCACACUGCUCUGACCACCAUAACCACCUCCAUAACCACCACUCAGCUGCUCUGACCACCAUAACCACCUCCAAUACCACCACUCACAUUGCUCUGAUCACCAUAACCACCUCCAUAACCACCACUCACACUGCUCUGAUCACCAUAACCACCUCCACAACCACCACUCACAUUGCUCUGAUCACCAUAACCACCUCCAUAACCACCACUCACAUUGCUCUGAUCACCAUAACCACCUCCAUAACCACCACUCAGCUGCUCUGACCACCAUAACCACCUCCAUAACCACCAGUCACACUGCUCUGAUCUCCAUAACCACCACUCACACUGCUCUGAUCACCCUAACCACCUCCAUAACCACCACUCAGCUGCUCUGACCUCCAUAACCACCUCCAUAACCACCACUCACACUGCUCUGAUCACCAUAACCACCUCCAUAACCACCACUCACACUGCUCAGACCUCCAUAACCACCUCCAUAACCACCACUCAGCUGCUCUGACCUCCAUAACCACCUCCAUAACCACCACUCACACUGCUCUGAUCACCAUAACCACCUCCAUAACCACCACUCACACUACUCUGAUCACCCUAACCGCCUCCACAACGACCACUCAGCUGCUCUGACCUCCAUAACCACCUCCAUAACCACCACUCACAAUGCUCUGAUCACCCUAACCACCUCCAUAACCACGACUCAGCUGCUCUGACCUCCAUAACCACCUCCAUAACCACCACUCACACUACUCAGACCACCAUAACCACCUCCACAACCACCACUCAGCUGCAUAACUAGACUGGUUGGGUAAGCCCAUCUCUCCCAUCAUUUGCCUACCAUAAGCACCACCACUUGCCCCUGCUGUAGAUUCAAGAAAAGUUCUACAUAGGUGUGUUCAUAAACCCCCCUACUUGUUCCUAUAGCAUUUAAAAAGGUCUCCCUGUACCUGUGCUGCAUAUUAGCUUUGUCUUUUGCCAUAGCU